CUUAGCAGCCGCCGUAGUGCAGAUUUCUUUGAGCUCACAUGGCCGCCACGGAGAUGUGAUGAACCAAGGCUGCUCAUGCCACUGAACUGACCAGGAUGAUUUAUCAGGAUAGGGAAGAGGAAGAGAUGGAGGGGUGGUUGUCAGGGAUGGAGAGAGGGGAGAGAGAAAGUAAGUGAGAGGUUUAAUCUCCCCGACCAGAUUGCUAUCGGGGGAAAGUACCCGACUCUCCCAAUGCAGUGUAUGGAGGGGCAGGGACACAGUGUCUCCACCGUUAUCGCUUAUAUGUCAUGCAACAGAUAAGGAUGUUUCUAUGUAGGAUAACUUGCUGGUGGACGUGGACUUUGGAGCCCAUGCACACACAGCGCCACAGUGACCUGUGAACGUGCAAACACAUUUCCACGAGGGUCACAUGACUCCUCCAGAGGACACACUUCUGAAUCAGAUUUCUGCUGUAAGUCACGUAGCAAUCAGCAUUGUUUUUAAGCAGUGGAGGCGUUCCGUGCAUGUUGGAGUGCUCGCUUCAUACAGAAGACGAACAACGCCAGCUUGGACUCAUCCACACUGAGGGGGAGGUCUGAGAAGACAGGCAGAUUGUGAACUGAGAGGGUUAAAGAUGUGCCCAGCGAGGUGUAGCCUGUGGCAUGACACUGGACUGGUUAAACUUGUUUUCUGCAGGGUUUUUCCUUGAGGCUGGUUCAGGUGUGAUACAGCUAAACACCCAAAUGCGGUCCUCAAAAAGAAAUGCUAAAUGAACACAUUUUCGAUGGAAGGAAAGGAAAAAUAAAAAGACCAUGAAUAAUGAGGAAAUAUGAGGAAAUAAGGUCCUGCUUCCUCUGUCAACACAGAAGUGUGGUUUUGGAGGAAUUUCUGCUUUGGGCCAAACUCUGUCAAAAGACAGAUGUUCAAAUAAAAAUGGAAAUAAUUCAUAUUCUA